rnacentral:rRNA from 1 species
AAUCAAGUGUCUUAAGUGCAUCCGGUGGAUGCCUAGGCGGUAGAAGGCGAUGAAGGACGUGGUACGCUGCGAUAAGCCUUGGGGAGUUGCGAACAAGCUUUGAUCCAAGGAUUUCCGAAUGGGGAAACCCACCUCUUUUGAGGUAUCCCGCAAGGGAAGCGAACCCGGGGAACUGAAACAUCUAAGUACCCGGAGGAAAGGACAUCAACCGAGACUCCGUUAGUAGCGGCGAGCGAACGCGGACCAGCCCGUAUCUGUUAUAAAACCAAAAGCGUCUGGAAAGUCGCGCCAUAGAGGGUGAUAGCCCCGUAUGGGUAGAAAAGCAGAUCGUUAGAGUAAGGCGGAACACGUGAAAUUCUGUCUGAACAUGGGGGGACCACCCUCCAAGGCUAAGUACUCUCUACCGACCGAUAGCGAACAAGUACCGUGAGGGAAAGGUGAAAAGCACCCCGACAAGGGGAGUGAAAUAGUGCCUGAAACCGGAUGCAUACAAACAGUCGGAGCCCGCAAGGGUGACGGCGUACCUUUUGUAUAAUGGGUCAGCGAGUUAGUUUAUCGUGCAAGCUUAAGCCGUUAGGUGUAGGCGCAGCGAAAGCGAGUCUGAACAGGGCGUUCAGUACGAUGAAUUAGACCCGAAACGAAGUGAUCUAGGUAUGGCCAGGUUGAAGGUGCGGUAACACGCACUGGAGGACCGAACCCACGUCUGUUGAAAAAGACGGGGAUGAGCUGUGCCUAGGGGUGAAAGGCCAAUCAAACUUCGAAAUAGCUGGUUCUCCGCGAAAUCUAUUUAGGUAGAGCGUUGGACGAAUACCUCAGGGGGUAGAGCACUGGAUGGGCUAUGGGGACUCACCGUCUUACUGAUCCUAACCAAACUCCGAAUACCUGAGAGUACUAUCCAGCAGACACACGGCGGGUGCUAACGUCCGUCGUGGAGAGGGAAACAACCCAGACCUCCAGCUAAGGUCCCCAAGUCAUGGCUAAGUGGGAAAGGAUGUGAGGAUCCCAAAACAACCAGGAUGUUGGCUUAGAAGCAGCCAUCAUUUAAAGAAAGCGUAACAGCUCACUGGUCUAAAUAAGGGUCUUUGCGCCGAAAAUGUAACGGGGCUAAAGCCAUGCACCGAAGCUGAGGGCGUGCUUUGCACGCGGUAGCGGAGCGUUCUGUACGACUGUGAAGGGAGACCUGUGAGGGCUCCUGGAGUUAUCAGAAGUGAGAAUGCUGACAUGAGUAACGAUAAAGCGGGUGAGAGACCCGCUCGCCGAAAGUCCAAGGGUUCCUGCGUAAAGCUAAUCUGCGCAGGGUUAGCCGGCCCCUAAGUCGAGGCAGAAAUGCGUAGACGAUGGGAACCACGUUAAUAUUCGUGGGCCAGGUGGUAGUGACGAAUGCUGUGUGUUGUCCAUCCUUAUUGGAUUGGUUGGGCAGCGAAGGUGUUCCAGGAAAUAGCUCCACCAACAUUGACCGUACCCGAAACCGACACAGGUGGACUGGUAGAGUAUACCAAGGCGCUUGAGAGAACUAUGCUGAAGGAACUCGGCAAAAUGCUCCCGUAAGUUCGCGAGAAGGGAGACCCUUGCUUGGGCAACCAGGUGAGGGUGGCACAGACCAGGGGGUGGCGACUGUUUAUUAAAAACACAGGGCUCUGCGAAGUUGCAAAACGACGUAUAGGGUCUGACGCCUGCCCGGUGCCGGAAGGUUAAGAGGAGUGGUGCAAGCCGCGAAUUGAAGCCCCGGUAAACGGCGGCCGUAACUAUAACGGUCCUAAGGUAGCGAAAUUCCUUGUCGGGUAAGUUCCGACCUGCACGAAUGGCGUAACGACUUCCCCGCUGUCUCCAGCAUAGACUCAGUGAAAUUGAAUUCCCCGUGAAGAUGCGGGGUUCCUGCGGUCAGACGGAAAGACCCCGUGAACCUUUACUAUAGCUUCACACUGGCAAUUGUGUCGUCAUGUGUAGGAUAGGUGGUAGACUAUGAAAGGCAGCGCCAGCUGUUCUGGAGUCAUCCUUGAAAUACCACCCUUGAAGUCAUGAUUGUCUAACCGCGGCGCAACAACGCCCGGGACAGUGUGUGGUGGGUAGUUUGACUGGGGCGGUCGCCUCCCAAAGAGUAACGGAGGCGCGCGAAGGUAGGCUCAGACCGGUCGGAAAUCGGUCGUUGAGUGCAAUGGCAUAAGCCUGCCUGACUGCGAGACUGACAAGUCGAGCAGAGUCGAAAGACGGUCAUAGUGAUCCGGUGGUCCCGUGUGGAAGGGCCAUCGCUCAACGGAUAAAAGGUACUCCGGGGAUAACAGGCUGAUGACGCCCAAGAGUCCAUAUCGACGGCGUUGUUUGGCACCUCGAUGUCGGCUCAUCGCAUCCUGGGGCUGGAGCAGGUCCCAAGGGUUUGGCUGUUCGCCAAUUAAAGCGGUACGUGAGCUGGGUUUAGAACGUCGUGAGACAGUUCGGUCCCUAUCUGCCGUGGGUGUAGGAAUAUUGCGAGGAUCUGUCCCUAGUACGAGAGGACCGGGAUGGACAGACCUCUGGUGGACCUGUUGUGGCGCCAGCCGCAUUGCAGGGUAGCUAUGUUUGGAACGGAUAACCGCUGAAGGCAUCUAAGCGGGAAACCAGCCUCAAAACCAGUAUUCCCUUGAGAGCCGUGGAAGACGACCACGUUGAUAGGCUGGGUGUGGACGUGCAGCAAUGCAUGAAGCUUACCAGUACUAAUUGCUCGAUUGGCUUGAUUGC